UUAGAGGCAGUGUCUGCCUGGUGCUAGUAAUGACAGUACGUUCAAUAGGUUAUCCGUUUACAGUGCUUCUGUGCUUUUGUGUAUCAUGUUUGUCACUAAGGUUCAGCAUGUAAAUAAUGUAGUGACAGUAAAUAGAUUAUGAUGCAAGUAUGUACAUGUAUCAACAUUCAAGUAGUAGUUUAUCCACAAUUUUAGGUAGGCACAGUAAUUAAGCAGUAAUUAAUUAUUAAUUAAGUUGUACGGAUACCUGGUUUAGUGAGGGUUGUCACACCAUUAUCUUCUUAUUAAUGAAAACUAACCCCUCAUAGGAUAAUAAAAAAAGUCAUGUCAUAUUAUAUACCUUUAACCUUCAUACAUCUUUUUACUAUAGUCGGUAGUUUAUUGGGUCGCUUGAAAAUAAUAUAAUGCAAGUGUGAUUCUAUCUUUACCAAUGAGUGGUUAAUACAUAAAAUCACUCUUUAUUUCUUGUGAUACCUCUAUACUCUAUGAACUAAUCCUGAAUACAAAAAUAACAGUGUGGAUAUUAGCCUCUAAUAAUCCCAAGUAGACUUUAUUGGUCAUUGACAGUCCCACCUUUUUUAUUCCCCCUUGCAGUCCCAUCUUUCAACUAUUUUUUCUCAACGGUGUUAAGUUCUUUUUUCCGAAUUACAAAAUGACAUUUUAAGGCUUUUGAUGGCAACGAGAAUAUGAGUCUACUGAUGUAAAACUUACCUUGAAAUUGGGUGCUCCAAACGACGAAAACAGUGUCUCAAGUCAGGUGUUUAAACUUCUAGUUAACAAAAAUCUAGUCGUUUUGAGCACCGUUUCGAGAUAAGUUUUACAUCAAUAGACUCAUAUCCUCGUUCUGAUCAAAAGACCAAAAACAUCAGUUUGUUAUUCUUAAAAAAACCUAACUUCGUUAUGUUUUUUGGGGAAUUGGCCGGUAAUAAUCACAACUAGAGGUCUUUGGUCAUUGACAGUCCCACCUUUAAAUAUCCCCUCUACCGGUCUCACCUUUCACCUGUUUUUCCUACACUAGUCCCUCGUUAAAAAAAACUCAACGAAGUUUUGUUUUUUCCAAAUUACAAACAGUUAUUACGAAUUUUGUUCAGAACGACGAUAUGAGUCCAUUGACGUAAAACUUACCUCAAAACGGUGCACCAAACCAUGAAAAUGGCGCAUCAAUUCGGGUGUUUAAAUUUUCAAUUAGCAAAAAUCAAGUCAUUUGGAGCACCAUUUCGAGAAAAGUUUUACAUGAAUGGACUUAUAUCGUUGUUCUAAUCAAAAGCCCUAAGACAUUUUUUGUAAUUUUGAAAAAAAAAAAACUUAACUCAGCUAUGUUUUUUUAAGGGGGAACAGUGUAGGACAAAUAGGUGAAAGGUGGGACUGGUGGGGGAAAUAUUCAAAAUGGGACUGUCAAUGUCCAAUGACCUCUAGUUGGGAUUAUUACAGGCUAAUUCCUCAAGUUUUUUUAACUGAGGAACCGUGUAGGAAAAAUAGUUGAAAAGUAGGACUACCAGGGGGAAUAAAAAAAGGUGGGACCGCCAAUGACCAAUGACGUGUACUUUGGAUUAUUAUAGGCCAAUAUCCCAUAAUAAUGUAUCUAACUACAAAAUAUAAGAAGUUACAACAAAUCAAAGAAACACUUAUUUUUAAAAUACUAUGAAUUCAGAUGCAUUCUGAAAAUGACACGACCUAAUUUUAAACCUAAUUGUA
rnacentral:lncRNA from 1 species